ensembl:lncRNA
GGGACACGCUAUCCAAGAAACUAGGGGGACAAGGUGGGGGACACCCUAUCCCAGGGAACAAGGUGAGGGACACCCCAUCCCAGAGAACUCGGGGGACAAGGUAGUGGACACCCUAUCCCAGGGAACUUGGGGGGCAAGGUAGGGGACACCCUAUCCCAGGGAACUCGGGGGACAAGGUAGGGGACACCCUAUCCCAGGGAACUCGGGGGACAAGGUGGGGACACCUUAUCCCAGGGAACUCGGGGGACACCCUAUCCCAGGGAACUCGGGGGACAAGGUGGGGGAUACCCUAUCCCAGGGAACUCAGGUUACAAGGUUGGGGAAACCCUAUCCCAGGGAACUCGGGGGACAAGGUGGGGGAUACCCUAUCCCAGGGAACUCAGGUUACAAGGUUGGGGAAACCCUAUCCCAGGGAACUCGGGGGACAAGGUGGGGGACACUCUAUCCCAGGGAACUCGGGGGACAAGGUGGGGGACACCCUGCCAACUCAUCGCAGGGCACAAUCACACACACAUUCACACACUACGGACAAUUUUGAAAUGCCAAUCAGCCUACAACACAUGUCUUUGGACUGGUGGAGGUACCAGAGUACCCAGAGGAAAAGUAUGAGGAGAGCAUGCAAGCUCAGUGCACACAGGGUGAAGACAGGAAUCGAACCCCCAACCCUGGAGGUGCAGGGUACAUGGUAACCACUAAGCCAUGAUGCAACAAAAAGUGUGCUCUUUUGAUCGUUUUACUCUAUCCUAAACUCCAGGUUGUGUAGGACAACCUCAAUAAAAGAGUCUCUGCUUUGAAAUUAUUACCCGUGUGUAGGUCUUUACCUAAAAGUUCAACUUUACAAUUUAUUAUGAAGAGGAUACGCAUUUUAAAGUGUGCGUGAAUAAAACUGCACUAACGAGACACGCGGCUCGUUCAGCCACAAAACGCCGGAAAUGUGUUUCUAUAAACAUGAAUUCGAUGAAUAAAACUACAACAUACUGGUCCUAAUGUGGAUCAUUUUUCACCGUUGAAUAUGUAUUUAUUUUAUUUUAUUUAUUUUAGAAAAAUCUGAAUAGAAACAAUGUUAUUAGCGGUCAUUUUAUUAUUAUUUAAUUAUUAUUCAUUUCUUCACGUGAGAACCUGGAACAUGACUACAGCUGUGACAAUAAAGCAGCAUGGUGAUGAGAGUCAAAUCAUCACACAGUGUGCAGAAGAGGAAGAUGGAGGCGACUGUUCGUUUACUGUGUGUGUGUGCGUGUGCGUGUGUGUGCGUGUGUGUGUGUUUAAAUUAUAAAAUGUUCUAGAUGUUUAGAUUACUCCCUUCCAUGAGAUGACAGUUCAAUUCCUGAAGCUGUUCACAUAGGAAAGAUGAUAGAUA